ACUGAUAAUAGCCCAAGGAGUCUACUGGAUGCUCGUAUCUGAAAGGAGAACAGAGUGUAAAUGAUCAAUGGUUGUCUCUAUCAAGCUGCAUUUAGUUGGGAUUUUUCCUUUCCAGAUUGUCAUGACUGAAGCUAGUAAAAGUUGAAAGGAGGAUGGAUAUCUGCAAGGAUAAUCAUUAAGAUCUUCUGUGCUACAGACAAGGCCACCACUGCGCCCCUGCCUCCAACUGCUCUGCUGGUACCUAUGGAAAAGGCUCUUUCUCAGUCUCUCCCUGGGAGGAUUACAUCUGCCUGGUUUAAAGUUUCACGUCCAAACAUCAUGACCAAAACCUAAAAGCUUGCUACAGAAAAAAAAGUAUAAAUUUGGGAAAAGAGCCUUCCUUCUCUGGGGAAAAUUAGCCUGGAUCCUAAGAGGAAAGUUAUUUGAGCAAGCUCCAUCUAUGAGACAAGAAGUGCAAACAGGUUGUGGCCUGCCAUGAUGGAACCCCACCAGAAACUCCCCAUGUGAGCAGUCACUGUAAAUGUGUCUUUCUCCACUGCCUUGAGGGAGAUGCCUACAUGCCACCCACAUGUCAUGAGGAAUCAUAACAUCAAGUUUACAUUGAAAGCAGUU
rnacentral:lncRNA from 1 species